rnacentral:rRNA from 1 species
GACGAACGCUGGCGGCGUGCUUAACACAUGCAAGUCGAACGGAAAGGCCCCUUUGGGGGUACUCGAGUGGCGAACGGGUGAGUAACACGUGAGUAACCUGCCCUUGACUUCGGGAUAACUUCAGGAAACUGGGGCUAAUACCGGAUAGGAAUCCUUGCUGCAUGGUGGGGGUUGGAAAGCUUCGGCGGUUUUGGAUGGACUCGCGGCUUAUCAGCUUGUUGGUGGGGUAGUGGCUUACCAAGGCUUUGACGGGUAGCCGGCCUGAGAGGGCGACCGGCCACAUUGGGACUGAGAUACGGCCCAGACUCCUAUGGGAGGCAGCAGUGGGGAAUAUUGCACAAUGGGCGGAAGCCUGAUGCAGCAACGCCGCGUGCGGGAGGACGGCCUUCGGGUUGUAAACCGCUUUCAGCAGGGGCGAAGCUUGUGGUGACGGUACCUGCAGAAGAAGCACCGGCUAACUACGUG